rnacentral:antisense_RNA from 1 species
UUUCUACAAACACAGUCAUAAACAGAUU